rnacentral:misc_RNA from 1 species
UCUCCGUAGGUGAACCUGCGGAGGGAUCAUUACUGAGCGAGGGCUCACGCCCGACCUCCAACCCUUUGUGAACACAUCUUGUUGCUUCGGGGGCGACCCUGCCGUUUCGACGGCGAGCGCCCCCGAAGGUCUCCAAACACUGCAUCUUUGCGUCGGAGUUUAAGUAAAUUAAAAAAAACUUUCAACAACGCAUCUCUUGGUUCCAGCAUCGAUGAAGAACGCAGC